GCUUUGUUGUCAAAGCAUCCACCUAUUAAAGAUCAGAAAUGAAUCAUAUUGCAAACCAAAGUGAAUUUUAAGAUCCAAGACAACUUCAGGCAGUACAUGACCAACGAAAAAUCUAAACAGAGGUAAAGCCUAGCAUUAAUCUACUCGAGAUCAUUAAUUUCCAUUGUAAUUCUUACCCAUAAGAUUCAUGAUGACACAAAAAAAUAGAAGAUCCCUAUAAUAGGCAACAUCCUUUGAAAUUGAAUAAAGGGCUUGAUAAAAAUAUCCAGUUUGACUUUGUUGGCUUUAUUUCAUAUUUUUUUUUUCCUCAAAGCAUUAUAGUUAGUUUGUUGUACAAUAAAAAAAAAUUGCACAAGUUAUCAAUUACAUAUUUUUCUACAUGACGAGGUUAAAACAGUAAGCUUGAUUUGUCAUAUAAACGGGCACGCAAAUAUUAGUGAAGGGGUCAAGUAUUAUUCAUUCUAAAAUCUUAACUUCAGCUACAGGUUGAGAUACAGCUAAUGUUCUGCUCUUUUCUUUUUAGCAUAAAUUUAAUUUGAAUGGUUAACUUUUAAAGUAAGUUACAAAAGAAGUAUAGGAUUACAAUUUUCACAAAUCUAGGGCAAAAGGGGCAAAUGCACUACAAAUUAGAUAACUGAAUUUGGAUAGAGUUACACAAUACCAACACAACAUUUGACUGAUUUAGAAUCAGCUCACAGUAGUAUCUUGUGAAACGAUUCAAUGUUACAGUAGGUAGAGUUAUAGGUAAAAGGAGAAUGGAGAAGAAAGAUAGAAUUCAUAGAUAAGAGUUGCAAUAUCUGAGCAACUAAGAGAAGCUCAACAUGCAACUAACAGUGUUGUGUAUGGAAAAUUGUGCUCAGGUUAACAAACUAUAAGGCAAAAUUCAAAAGAGUCUGACAAGAUAAACUAAGCAGUAUUCAAGCACCAAUGGGACAAAAAAAGAACCUUCAGUUGAAGAAAGCCAUGUGAAACUUUUAAAAGAUUUAUAAACCUAGCAAAUUCAACCAUUAUUCUUAGUUGGGACAUUAAAUUGAAUUUAAGUGUCCAAAAUUUUCCUGAUUAAUUACGAAAAUAACAAGAAUAUCACGCAUAGCAGUUUCUAGUAAAUGUUACAAAUAGUUUGAAACAAACUUGGUCAUAGAAAGAAUAUAAAUUGCUGCGUUUACAUUAAAUAACAACUUUCUUAGCCUAAAUAAAAAUAAUAACAAGUUUCUUAAUGAGCUUUUGCAGAAAAGAGACGUUAACAGCAGAAAGGAUUCUGGGAAGAGUUAAAAGGAAAAAUAAAUAAAUAAAUUUCAUUCACACAGCCAGUCCCAUGUGCAUGGACUUUAAGGCCUUAAUUGCCUAAAUUAUGUCCAUAUGCAGAUUUGCAUUUGAAGGUCAUGGAUAUCCCCAAAUGCAUAUACGCAUAGGCUAGUAAAACAAAAAAUUUAGAGACUACAUUAUCUGCAGAUGUUGUCCAAGUUGUCAAAAAAAAAAAAAAGU
rnacentral:misc_RNA from 1 species